GCAUGUGGACAGACGGUCGCGGGUUUCUUUGUAAUGAAGAAUCGCGAGGAAAGUCCGGACACGAUAGGAAACGGUGGUGGAUAACGUCCACCGACCUUUGAUUGCAGGUUAGGGCUUAGUGCCACAGAGAGUAGACCGCCGAUGGUCAUGUUUACAUGACACAGGCAAGGGUGAAAAGGUGCGGUAAGAGCGCACCGCUGGUUUGGUGACAAAUCAGGCAAGGUAAACCCCACCGCGUGCAAACGCAAGCAGUUCUCGAUUCACUUUUGUGAAUGUCCUUGUCCGAGGAAUGAGAACGGGUCGCGUGCAAAAGUGUGCUGG
rnacentral:RNase_P_RNA from 1 species